GACGAACGCUGGCGGCGUGCUUAACACAUGCAAGUCGAACGAAGUGGCGAACGGGUGAGUAACGCGUCAUCAACCUGCCCUUCAGAGGGGGACAACAGUUGGAAACGACUGCUAAUACCGCAUACUGAAGGCGGGGAUUGCGUCUGAUGAGCGAGUUGGGGGGGUAACGGCCCACCAAGGCGAUGAUCAGUAGGCGGUCUGGGAGGAUGAACGGGCACCUUGGGACUGAGACACGGCCCAGACUCCUACGGGAGGCAGCAGUGGGGAAUCUUCCGCAAUGGACGAAAGUCUGACGGAGCAACGCCGCGUGAUUGAUUGCGGCCUUCGGGUUGGAAAGCUCUGUUAAUCGGGACGCGGUACCGGAAUAGAAAGCCACGGCUAACUACGUGCCAGCAGCCGCGGUAAUUC
rnacentral:rRNA from 1 species